rnacentral:lncRNA from 1 species
UUGGACCUAGAUAGGUCUUCCAUAGGGUUAAGACCAACCCUUGAGCACUGUGAAAUGGAUUCCGGAAUCCCAGAACUUGUGGAACGCCAAGAGUGGUGCGGGGUGUGUGUGACGAUUUCGCCGCCCGGGGCUAAAGAACCAUUGUCGUGGCGUGUGCGACGAUUUCGCCGCCGGAUGGUUGAGCCGGUUUGUGGAUUAUGCCGCAGGGUGACUUGAGCCAGAGCUGAGCGUGUGCGACGAUUUCGCCGCCGAGUGGCCGAGUCAUCGAGUGCGAUGGGCUGUUAAGCAACCAAUGUGCGGACUAUCCGCAGAGGAUUGACUCAAG